GACGAACGCUGGCGGCGUGCCUAACACAUGCAAGUCGAACGGAGAUGUUGAUUUCGGUUGACGUCUUAGUGGCGAACGGGUGAGUAACGCGUGAACAAUCUGACCUUAAGAGGGGGAUAACAACGAGAAAUCGUUGCUAAUACCGCAUAAGACCACAAUGCCGCAUGGCGAAGGGGUCAAAGGAGCAAUCCGCUUAAGGAGGGGUUCGCGUCCCAUUAGGUAGUAGGUGAGGUAACGGCUCACCUAGCCGACGAUGGGUAGCCGAGCUGAGAGGAUGAUCGGCCACACUGGAACUGAGACACGGUCCAGACUCCUACGGGAGGCAGCAGUGGGGAAUAUUGGGCAAUGGGCGCAAGCCUGACCCAGCAACGCCGCGUGAGGGAAGAAGGUUUUCGGAUUGUAAACCUCUGUCGCAGAUGACGAAACAAAUGACGGUAAUCUGUGAGGAAGCCCCGGCUAACUACGUGCCAGCAGCCGCCGUAA
rnacentral:rRNA from 1 species